AAGUCGUAACAAGGUAACCGUAGGUGAACCUGCGGUUGGAUCAUUAACUAAAAAAAACUUAAAAAGCAUUGUUUUGUGUGUUGGACAUUGGGGAGGGGAAACCCUCUCUUUUUCCUAACCUAACAAUGUUGUUUUUUGACAUUAUGUGCAUUGUUCAACGUGUUUUGUUGCGUCACUUGUUAAAAUUUUGUAUAAAUUAUUAUACAAAAAUGGCAGGCCCCCGACGACCCUUUUUAUAUAUUAUAUAUAUCAAGGGAUAGUAAAGGGUUGUUGGCGCAACAACCAUUUGUUUUAAUUAACUUGUCUCUAAUAAUCAACGAUAACAGGAGUGUUCCUAUAAAAUCACCAAGCUUGCUUGCUUGACGUGUUUUAAUACACAACAACAAACAACUUUUGACAACGGAUCUCUUGGUUCUC
rnacentral:misc_RNA from 1 species